rnacentral:rRNA from 1 species
UUUUUUCCAGAGUGGUUAGCAAACCCGGUACUGGUGCUAAAGAAGAACAAGCAGUGGCGGAUGUGCAUUGACUACACAAGCCUCAAUAAAGCUUGCCCCAAGGACCCGUUUGCUCUGCCAAGAAUCGAUCAGGUGAUAGACUCCACAGCCGGAUGCGAGCUGUUGAGCUUCCUAGAUGCAUAUUCGGGAUAUCACCAGAUCAAGCUGAACUCGACUGACAGACUGAAGACCGCCUUCAUCAUGCCGUUUGGAGCCUUCUGCUACCUGACCAUGACGUUCGGCUUGAGAAAUGCCGGUGCCACCUUUCAGCAUUGCAUGCAGAAGUGCCUCCUGAAGCAACUCGGCAGAAACGCCCAUGUCUAUGUGGAUGAUGUAGUGGUGAAGACGGAGAAGCGUGGGACCUUGCUGGAGGACCUCAAGGAAACCUUCGAGAAUCUACGCCGAUUCCAGAUCAAGCUCAACCCAGAGAAGUGCGUCUUCGGAGUACCAGCCGGCCAGCUCCUCGGUUUCCUGGUCUCCGAAUGCGGCAUAGAGUGCAACCCUGUGAAGAUCAAGGCCAUCGAGAGGAUGGAAGCACCCAGACGACUGUUAGAUGUGCAAAAGUUCACCGGCUGUUUGGCAUCCAUCAGCCGAUUCAUCAGUCGGCUGGGCGAGAAGGCUCUCCCCUUGUAUCAGCUCAUGAAGAAGACGACCUUCUUUGAGUGGACUCCCAAGGCGGACGAGGCCUUUCUCCAACUAAAGAAGAUGUUUACUACUCCCCCUGUGCUGGCGGCUCCGACUCCCAAAGAGCCCAUGCUCCUAUACAUUGCCGCCACCAGUCGAGUAGUCAGCACAGUCAUGGUAGUCGAGCGCAAGGAGGAAGGCAAGGCGCUGCCUGUCCAGAGACCGGUAUAUUACCUGAGUGAAGUACUGUCGACCUCCAAGCAGAACUACCCCCAUUACCAGAAGAUGUGCUACGGCGUACAUUUUGCCGCCAAGAAAUUGAAGCCUUACUUCCAGGAGCAUCCAAUCACUGUGGUCUGCAUAGCCCCGCUGGCCGAGAUCAUCGGAAGCCGAGAUGCUUCUGGCCGAGUGGCCAAAUGGGCCAUUGACUUAGCUCCCUACACCAUCUACUACAAGCCCCGCACCGCCAUCAAGUCGCAGGCGCUGGCCGACUUCCUCGUCGACUGGGCCGAGACCCAGUACCUGCCGCCAGCACCUGACUCCACCCAUUGGCGGAUGCACUUUGACGGCUCCAAGAUGCUCACCGGCUUGGGGGCCGGCGUCAUCCUCACUUCCCCCAAGGGCGACAAGCUAAGAUAUGCACUGCAGAUCCACUUCGCCGCCUCCAACAACGUGGCCGAGUACGAGGCGCUCAUACACGGGCUCCGGCUUGCCAAAGAACUCGGCAUUCGCCGGAUCCUGUGUUAUGGC